AUGACGCCGCAGCCCAACUCAAGUGUUAAGUUCAGCGUGGAGGCACCCCUGCAGGAGCUGCAGAGCAGCGGGUUGCACUCGGACGACGCCGGGAUCGGGGCUGCGGAAGCCUGGAAGGCCUACCUCAUGGCUAAGAAGGCCAAGCUGGAUGAGACCCUUGCUGCAGCCCGCCAAUUCAGAGCACUGCUUCGGCAGCAGCUCCAGAAAGCCUUCGCGUCACAGUCUUGUUUAGAGGAGGCCCCGGCGGCGUCGAGCUGCUGUUGCUGCGGGCACAGCGACGUCGGCGUUGUCAGGAUGGUCGCGGCCCUUCAAGAUUCUCAACGGCGGCGUCUCGGCGCUGAUGGCGGAGUUGAUGGCGAGCAUCGGCGGGACCCUUGUAGGAGACCAUCCUCAAGAUGGACGAGAAGAUGA
rnacentral:rRNA from 1 species